UACGUAGGGUGCGAGCGUUAAUCGGAAUUACUGGGCGUAAAGCGUGCGUAGGCGGUCCGCGAAGUCUGAUGUGAAAGCCCCGGGCUCAACCUGGGAACUGCAUUGGAAACUAACGGGCUCGAGUGUGGCAGAGGGGGGUGGAAUUCCGCGUGUAGCAGUGAAAUGCGUAGAGAUGCGGAGGAACACCGAUGGCGAAGGCAGCCCCCCUGGGCUGACACUGACGCUCAGGCACGAAAGCGUGGGGAGCAAACAGG
rnacentral:rRNA from 1 species